GCCACUUAAUAUACCAUUGUAUAAAAAUAGGCGUUUAAUCAAAAUAUUAAGUUUCAGUUUCUGUUUUACUACAAUUAUUUUACAUGAAAAUGCUUCCUGACAUUUGUUGUUUUUACUAAAUUAUCGUAAAUAUUUAGAUCCUGUGUAGAUAUUAUCAUAAAGAUAUACUUAAAUUACAUAAGUGGGAACUUGGUGAAAGUACUGACAAUGCAAUUUAAUCUAAUAACAUGUACAACAAUAACCGUCCAUUGCACCCAAACAAGAGGACCACGAUGACCAUGAUAUCAGGGCUCUAAAUCGCUCGUCUGAGUUAUAGAUCCACUACAUGUCAUCGCUGAGCAGAAAUAGGUACAUAUGAGAAUGUCAGGGAUAAAAAAAAGUCACCUGUAGGAAAAAAAGUCAUGGAGAAAAAAAAGUCACUGGAAAAAGUCACAACAGGGGCAGAUAAUCGGGAUAUGUAUCUGUUUAACUUGAACUGACUCCGUGAACAGCACUGAAGUAAGUAAAUAAGUAAGUAGCGAGUGAAUUUUUAGUAAGUAAGGCGUACGGUCCUCUAUCAACAUACAUAGAGCUUGAGAGUUUAUUAUAUUUCAUUCCAUCAGGCUAAGAAGCUCACGAGGACAAUCAUCGCAUGAUAACAAUAUGACGAACUGUGAUAUUAACAAAUAAUAUUCGAAGCUUAAUGAUAAAUGUUCUAAAUACAUACAUACACAUACACUCAUUCAAUCAAAGGCGUAUAUUCAUAACAAAAAUGAUAAUGACUCUUGUGAUAUCAAUUUUUCUUAUAUGUAUGAAAUAUGGGCCAAUCAAAUGAUUACAUUUGAGAAGGGCAUACAAUGCAACAAUUAUAGACUUAUGUUUUGCAGACUGCGUCCUCGGUCAAUAUCAUUUUUACAGGCCCGUAAAAACACAUAUUGACUUCAACAUAAGUCAAUAACUGUAUAAUUUGUGAGGCAGCAGAGUAUAUGCAUUUAGGUAUUGAAGUAGAGCAUAAAAAGUGUUUGAUUCGUAGAAGACAGCAGAGAACUGAGAUGCAUCUUUAUAAUGUGUUUUUUUUAACUUGUAUUUUGCAAUUAUUAGUUUUGUCAGCUGGAACACCUCUUUAUCUGCAAAAAAAAUCUAUUUCCUAAUUCUGUAAGAAUACGUGUUUGUCUGGUGACAUGAUAGCGUUUUAGAUGUGAUUGGACGGUGAUAUAAACAAAGCUUUUGUCUAUUGUGGAUUUGUAGCUAUAUAGUUCCUUAGUAGCAGUCAGUAAUGACGUCAUUUUAUGAAAAGACUGUAUAACGUAAGUUAUGGUAGCAAAGAAAUAUCGUCAGCAAACAUGUCUGUUGACUCGCUUUUAAAAAGUAGUCAUAAGUCAUUGUUGGAAGAGGCUCGAGUGUAGUGUCAUGUGAUUAGUAACUUCAAAAUGUCUCGUAAAAACAAAUAAUUUGUGUGUUACUGGAUUAGCGCCGUUUUUCCCAACUGAACGGUUGGCACUUAACCUAACAAGAGUUCCUUGAUUCUGUACCAUUACUAACUGUUCUCCGCAAGUUACUACCACCUUCUUCAUAUGAAUCAGAGUUGGAGGACAAAUAAUACAAUUACGUAACAUCUUAUCUUGUUUAUAACAUACGGCGGUCAGUUAGUUUAACCGAUGUUCCUGGCUUUAAGCCGGUUUUCCGCAACCAACCAACAACUUCUCCAUAAAACUUGAGAGGUGGUUGACAAAUGGUCCUGUACGUUUUUGUCGUGAGUUAAUCAUAGCGGGGAGAGGCCUCGCUCAGAAUUAUGAAUCUGAUACUUCCGCAUUGGAAACCAAUAAGUUUUGUGUGUGUGUGUGUGUGUGUGUGUGUGUGUGUGCGUGCGUGCGUGCAUGCGCGCGUGUGGUGUGUGGGUCUGGUUGUUAAGGUGGCAGAAGCUCAAUCUGGAGGCUGCGGCCUAGAGCCCCACUGGGAUCACAACCAUGCCUUCUAAUAGACACCACUAACGCGGACUCAAAUACCAACACCAAGGUUGAAGCAAUCUCAAGAUAAUGAGCCGAACUUGUACAGUAACUGUAUAUUUUCUAGUUAAUUAAAUACAUACAUAUUUGAAUGAUAUAAACUUUAAAUCGAACUAGUCUUAUAACUUUGAAUGAACAAUAAUUAUAAAAAUGAUGUUGGUGGUGAUGAUGAUGAUAAUGAUGAUGAUGAUAAUAAUGAUGAUGAUGAAUUUGCUUUACUUUUUUAUGUUUACACACUUCAAUAAUUCUAUCUAACCAAGAUGCGCUGUUCAAGAGGCAAUAAAGUGUAGAGCCUUGUUUACCUAGCUCGAAAUAUGCCGGUUAGCAGGUUUAUCGAUAUUAUAAUGGAAAGGGAAACAACUACAACGGCGCAGAAGGAAAAAAUCAAUUCCGACAAGAGUUGUGGGUUCUCGUAUAUUUUGCGCUCAAUGUUGGUGAUGAAUUUCUUUGUAGUAUUUACAUUAUUUUGAUAUAUACGAGUGCACCAAUAAAGCUAUAAUGUUAAGUAAAUUCAAACGUUUGUUUAAUGUGAAAAAAGCUUAAGGACAACAUUGUCAUCAUACUGCUAUAUUUGUUGUUCAUUUUAUUUUAUUUCUUUAUUUUGUAACUAUAAUGCUUAAAACUAUAUUUAUUUAGAGUAAUAUUAUUAGACUUUUUACUCUAUAAAAGAAAAAAUGAAAUAGAUAUUUACUUAUUUAAGAAUAAGUAUUGGCAGCUAAAAUAAUUCUCAAUAUAGAUUUAUUUUUUACAGCCAUUUGAAUUGUUCGUGUAUACCAGAAGUGACAUUCAAAGAUUCAGGAUACGUCAGCUUGUGAUGCUGGUUGUCUACACCACUUUCCAUUUUAAAUAUCUCUGUUUGUCUCCAUGUCAGUGUUUGUGCUGUGAAUGGGAGGACAAAAUGCAUAUAAAUGAAGAGGUUGCUAAUCAGCGAUUAGAAUUCCAUGCUGAAUGUAUAAAUGGUCUCGAGUGCAAGAUGUAUGAAAAUGCAAUGAAAAUUAAUAUUCAGAACCAUCAGUAUGUUUUAAACCUUGUUGAAACUCAUUUGAAAGCAUAGAGCAGUCUCAUACACAUGCUUAUUGCACGUACCUGUAAGGGAUAAAUGUGACAGCUAGUUACCAUGGUGAUACUGGGGAGGGUACUUUAACAGAAGUGAGACCAGACAGGUGCUCCUUUUCGCCAGUGUUGCCAAGGUUGUACAAAAGAAAUGUGACGUCAUCAUCAUAAAUCGCCGGCAUGCAGUUUGAUGGCUUCUACUUUUCAGAUUUUAUUUUCUUACUUAAUAUUCGUAAACUGCUUAACGAGCCGUGUUAUAUCAUUGUAAUUUAUUUAUCUGCUAUCGUUAUAAAGAAACUGCUUGGUACUGUACUGUGGAUUUAUAUCAAACGGUAAUACAUGUACAGACUUAAUACAAUCGAGUCUGUUAUUAUGUUGCUUGUUUAUAUUUUAGCUUUAAAGAAUUUUCUUAUAGAUUUAAUAAAAUAACAACAGCAGUAUAACGCUGUCAAAUAUUAUCGUCCAGUACUAGUACAGGUUUGUGUUUUGGUCCUUCGGGAUCAUGUACUUAACUCAUAUUAUUUAUGUAAUAGAGUAUCACUUAAACGGGAUGGUGUAAGAGCUGUUGCUCAUUUGAAUAUCAUAAUUUGAUUACCUUAUGAACAAACCCAGCCUAACCGAGUCUGCUGUCACUUAGUCUCGUUCUUUGAUCUCAAAGAUUUAUAGAUUUUAUUUCUUAAGGCAUUGUCAGAAGUACAUUCUUUCAUUUUAAUUUGCAUUCAUGUCGGAACAAUGAAACGUGUUUAUAGGUAAAAAAUAAUUGGGAGAUCGCAAGUACCCCAUCUGGUAGGAAACCUCAAGUAGGAGUUUUUCAAAACGCUUAUUGUCGUAUUUAGAAUAGAAACAACACAAAAUUAAAUACUAAGGAAUACUAACCCUUGAAUUUCAGGAUUUCAAUAACACCCGCAGUUAUUAAAAAGGGAGAAAAUCUUUCAUGGGACCACCCACGAGGUAGCAAAAUCCCCAAGGGAAAACAAAUCUAAUUGAGACGCCAGCAAUAAAAAGGUGUGUUGUUAUGUGCUGAUAACAUUAAAUUUACUAUCACGACAUUUAUUUAAAAUACUGCAUAACAUACAUGCCAGCAGAUUCACCUGCUGUAUGCUUUGUAGUGUGUAUUAUGUUCAAAUAUUGUAUAAAUUAAGGUAUUAAUAUGAAAACAUUUCGUGCAUUUUGUUUUAAAACGUCUAUUUGUUACACAUGUAACUGUGGUAUUAUGCUUUAAUAAUGAAGCAUUGUUUGAUCUUUUUUGCGUUUUAAUUUGUUUUAAAAAUUGGAAAAAAUGUAAUAAUUUUAACCAUUUUUGUUGAGCUAUCGAUACAUGCAGUUAAAUAAUAUGUAUUGUUGAUAAAAGGAUAUACACCUAAAUAGUUUUAAGUAUACUGACAAUGUCUUAUAAAUCUGUUUAAGCAAAUAAUUUAUUUGCUUGUUUUGUUUGGUAUUUAAAGUAACGUCCACACAGUUUAUAAACAAAGGGAUUUCCCAGGCAAUACCCUCUACCCUGCCAUAAUGUCAAAGAUGGUUAUGCCCUUUAGUAGAUCUAUUCAGUUUAUGAAAGCCACACGAUGGCUCCCUCAUUUCAAAGAUUUCUUCAUCCCAAGUAUUGUGUAUCAGGGUUUCGAACACAGUGGUUCGGGAAAGGUAUAUUUAAAGUCAUCGAUCUUGAACGUUUCGGACUAGAAGCUGCUAAUAAAAAAUACGUUAAUUUAAAUACAUAACAUUUAGUCAAAAAUAAGCGCGAAAUGCACAAUGAAAGAAUAGACAAUGCUUAGAUAGUUCAGACGCAGCCAUGGCCUCAUGGAUAAGCACCUGCCCAGCAACCGAGAGGUCGAAGGUCAAGUCCUGACAGACGCGGUCUUAUUUCUGAAGAGAAACCGGUUGGGGAACAGCUAGUUAAUUAAAUGAUGGUUACCGAUUUCCUACCUGCCAGGCUCUUGAAUGUAAAAAUACACUCAAAAAUGUUAAAACGCUACAUAAAACUUAAAGAAAGUGUUUUAGUAUAAAGGUAUAGGUCUUGUUUAGUAUAGUGUCACCCCUAUUGAAAGGGCCAGCUAAUUUAACCACUCUGCCACGGUGUAUUUUUAUCAAAUGUGUUAAAUGAAUGCGGUUGUCAAACUUGUUUUGUGCUACAUACAGUGUGACUACCACUCAUAAAACUCUAAUUAGGAUUAUUUUCUUUCGGAUAUACAAAUAUUCGAUUGUCGCAAAGAAAUAUGAAAUAUCCGUAAUCUUGUGAUAUCGUUAAAUAAUAAGCAUGUUGGUCAGGAUUUGUUCAGGAUUUCCAAUUAUAAACGUUAGAGUUGAUUGUUACGUUGCAAAACGCUCUGUACAUGACGUUGACGUAAUUGAAAACGUUGAUAUUGAUGUAACAACAGCUGUCUUAAAUCUCAAUCUGCCCAUAACUUGUUCGUAUGGCUGAAAUGGACUUUAAGUGUUUUUGUAUUUGCUACCUGGUGAAAUGCAGUAUAAACUAUUAUUACUUUGAAGUACGAGUAAGAUUGCAAAGCUUCUACUGUGGGAUCGUAUCAGCUGUUUAACUGUUGAGUCUAUAAUAAGAUAUGAUGUUUAUUUUGAUUAUAUGAAAUCUCGUCAGGUUGUUAUUUUAUUUCUCCAUUUUAUGUAUGGCUACACGGGUUGGAUACUGUGCUGCCUCAUAAUGUGUGAUUUAUGUUAGUGGACUUCUUCAUAUCCAGUUCCAGCCUCUUUCAGCAUUUUCGGAAUGCCAUACGCGCAUUCACCAAAUUAGGUCCGAAAAAUGCCGAAUUGCCUUUUUCUUCUCCUUAUUUUUUUAGAAAGUCAGUUGUGAUUAAAAAUGUGCAUAAACUACCGACAAUAAAUUUUUUGUGAAAGUAAGAACAAGUUAUAAAAAUAAAUUUAAAAUGGGAAAUAAUCCCAUUUUUAAACAAGAGAAAAUCUCCAGCAGGCGAACUAUCCCAAGGGAGAUCGCAAGUAUCCCAUUUGGUGGGAUUUUUUCAAAACGCUUAUUGUCAUAUUUAGAAUAGAAACAACACAAAAUUAAAGAGUAAGAAUACUUACCAUUGAUACAUUGAAUUUUAAAACUGUUAUUAACACCCGCAGUUCUUAAGAUGGGAGAAAACCUCCCAUAGGACCACUCACGGCAAAAUCCCAAUGGGAAAUAAAAAAUCUCCCAUGGGAGGACAGACUAUUAAAUCGUCAAAGAAAUUCAUUUUUUUUUGAUAUUUGUAAAAGGAAAAAGUGCAAUUCUUUAUUGUUACAUGUCAAAAUAAAUUAAAGAAAUGUCAAAAACAAAUUGAGACUAAGUUUUGAGAAAUUGUCGGGUUUGCAAGCUAAAUCCGGAGACAGUUUUUACGAGUGUACAUAAGUCAAGAGCCAUUAUAGUAUCGACUCACUGUUAAACCCAUUUUACUAGUUUAGACACCUGUGAAAAAAGAGUGUGUUGUUAUGUGCUCUCAGUUAUAACAUAAAUAUUACGAACAUAACAUUUUUUAAAGUACUGCAUAACAUAAUAGAUGGAAGAAGAUUCACCUGCUGUAUGCUUUGUAGCGCGUAUUAGAUUUAGAUAUUGUAUAAACUAAGGUAUUAAUUUGAAAACAUUUGGUGCAUUUUGGUUAGAUAUACAAGGUCUUUUUGUAAUAUAUGUACAUCUUUUAUUAUGCUUUAACAUUUGAACAUUUUUGAUCGUUUUUGUGUUCUAAUUUGUUUUCAUAAUAAUUAUUGCAAAUAUUGUUAUUAUAUAUUUUUUGUUUGUAACUGGACAAUUGGUCAGUCAAUGAAAACAUGAUUUUAUUACACUGACAAUGUCUAAUACUAGUAAUUUAAUAAAUCUGUUUAAGCAAAGAAAUUAUUUAUUUGUU
rnacentral:lncRNA from 1 species